GUGAUUAAAUCGAGCGUGUCUUCAUUGACCGCUCACCCUUCUCACCAUCCACAUACACCUGUGCACUGUUUAGCCUGAGCCGGUUUUCCGGUCCAGGUUAUCAUUUUAUACAAACUCUAGUCUUAUGAAUGUAAACGUUUUAAUAACAUAAUA
rnacentral:misc_RNA from 1 species